rnacentral:rRNA from 1 species
UACGUAGGGUCCAAGCAUUAUCCGGAUUGACUGGGUGUAAAGAGUUGCGUAGGUGGCAUGGUAAGUAGAUAGUGAGAUCUGGUGGCUCAACCAUUCAGACUGUCAUCUAAACUGCCAAGCUCGAGAGCGUUAGUGGUAGCUGGAAUUUCUAGUGUAGGAGUGAAAUCCGUAGAUAUUAGAAAGAACACCGAUAGCGUAGGCAGGCUACUGGGACGUUUCUGACACUAAGGCACGAAAGCGUGGGGAGCAA